rnacentral:rRNA from 1 species
GAUUAGUGGCGAACGGGUGAGUAACACGUGAGUAACCUGCCCCUGACUCUGGGAUAAGCCUGGGAAACUGGGUCUAAUACCGGAUAUGCACCGUGGACCGCAUGGUUCUUGGUGGAAAGAUUUUUUGGUCAGGGAUGGACUCGCGGCCUAUCAGCUUGUUGGUGAGGUAAUGGCUCACCAAGGCGACGACCGGUAGCCGGCCCUGAGAGGGUGACCGGCCACACUGGGACUGAGACACGGCCCAGACUCCUACGGGAGGCAGCAGUGGGGAAUAUUGCACAAUGGGCGAAAGCCUGAUGCAGCGACGCCGCGUGAGGGAUGACGGCCUUCGGGUUGUAAACCUCUUUCAGUAGGGAAGAAGCGAAAGUGACGGUACCUGCAGAAGAAGCGCCGGCUAACUACGUGCCAGCAGCCGCGGUAAUACGUAGGGCGCAAGCGUUAUCCGGAAUUAUUGGGCGUAAAGAGCUCGUAGGCGGUUUGUCGCGUCUGCCGUGAAAGUCCGAGGCUCAACCUCGGAUCUGCGGUGGGUACGGGCAGACUAGAGUGAUGUAGGGGAGACUGGAAUUCCUGGNUGUAGCGGUGAAAUGCGCAGAUAUCAGGAGGAACACCGAUGGCGAAGGCAGGUCUCUGGGCAUUAACUGACGCUGAGGAGCGAAAGCAUGGGGAGCGAACAGGAUUAGAUACCCUGGUAGUCCAUGCCGUAAACGUUGGGCACUAGGUGUGGGGGACAUUCCACGUUUUCCGCGCCGUAGCUAACGCAUUAAGUGCCCCGCCUGGGGAGUACGGCCGCAAGGCUAAAACUCAAAGGAAUUGACGGGGGCCCGCACAAGCGGCGGAGCAUGCGGAUUAAUUCGAUGCAACGCGAAGAACCUUACCAAGGCUUGACAUGUGCCAGACCGCCGUGGAAACACGGUUUCCCCUUUGGGGCUGGUUCACAGGUGGUGCAUGGUUGUCGUCAGCUCGUGUCGUGAGAUGUUGGGUUAAGUCCCGCAACGAGCGCAACCCUCGUUCCAUGUUGCCAGCACGUAGUGGUGGGGACUCAUGGGAGACUGCCGGGGUCAACUCGGAGGAAGGUGGGGACGACGUCAAAUCAUCAUGCCCCUUAUGUCUUGGGCUUCACGCAUGCUACAAUGGCCGGUACAAUGGGUUGCGAUACUGUGAGGUGGAGCUAAUCCCAAAAAGCCGGUCUCAGUUCGGAUUGG